UGCAUGUCUAAGUUCACACUGUCUCACGGUGAAACCGCGAAUGGCUCAUUAAAUCAGUCGAUGUUUAUUAGAUGAAAACUAUCCUACUUGGAUAACUGUGGCAAUUCUAGAGCUAAUACAUGCUUACCAAGCUCCGACCCUCGUGGAAAGAGCGCUUUUAUUAGUUCAAAACCAAUCGCCGUUGCCCUUCGCGGGGCGCGGCGUCCCGAUUGGUGACUCUGGAUAACUUUGUGCUGAUCGCAUGGCCCUAGUGCUGGCGACGCAUCUUUCAAAUGUCUGCCCUAUCAAAUGUCGAUGGUACGUGAUAUGCCUACCAUGUUUGUAACGGGUAACGGGGAAUCAGGGUUCGAUCCGGAGAGGAGCAGAAAA
rnacentral:rRNA from 1 species